GCUGAGUCAUGUUUGGCUAAUCACCCUGUGGCUUCCAAAGCCAAUUCUGCGUGCACGUCUGAAAAAUUUGAUGAAAUCAAUAAAGAAAGAAUAUGCUGCCAUAAAGAGGGAGGGUAUUGAAAUCCUUUGAGAAGAACAGUUAAAAGGAGUUUGCCACUCAAGAGGCCUGGAUACCAGUGAUGUCGACCCAGAGGCACUGGUACAGUGGUUAGCUGAAUGGGUGGAGCUGUCAGAUGCGGCAGGAGACAAAGAUGAAUCUUUCUUGGCUCAUUGUGCUGUCUUCAAGUCCAUGAAUUAUAGUGAGGACUUACAUGAAGAUCAAACAAAGAGAAGUCGUCUUUAGAGAAUUUCAUUCUCCAGUUUCCAAGGACUACGAGUAGUUCCGCUUUCCCAACUUGUUUUUUCGAGUAAACGAAGACCAAAGACCUUUGGGUGCCAAAAAACUGGAGCCAUAUUACUUGCUCCCUCUCGUCUAUGUAUUUAAUUUUUCUUUUCGCGCACAACGUCGAUUUUUACUCGCUCGGCAAACUUAGCCGGGAAGAAGGAGCUUCCCAUAACGACCAUAAUCAACAGUGUUCACUGCAAGUGGGAACACCUUUCAAAGGCGAAUUAUAUUAGAGUAAUUGUUUCCUUUAUUUUCUAUAAAAUUGAAUGAUUUAUACACAGAAAUGAAAAUUUGGCACUUUGAGUGACAUUUACACAGUUUUCACAAGUCUAAGUACCUCAAGAUAUCGGCGCUUUUCAAUUAUCUAGAAAGAAAACAAACUUAUUAAAACAAACUUUAUAAACGAUGGGGUUUUGAGAAAAAUGGCAUUUUAAAACUAAUUAC